rnacentral:rRNA from 1 species
UACGGGGGGGGCAAGCGUUGUUCGGAAUUAUUGGGCGUAAAGGGCUCGUAGGUGGCCAACUAAGUCAGACGUGAAAUCCCCAGGCUCAACUUGGGAACUGCGUCUGAUACUGGAUGGCUUGAAUUCGGGAGAGGGAUGCAGAAUUCCAGGUGUAGCGGUGAAAUGCGUAGAUAUCUGGAGGAAUACCGGUGGCGAAGGCGGCAUCCUGGACCGAGAUUGACACUGAUGAGCGAAAGCUAGGGGAGCAAACGGG